UAUUGGGUCCCAUCGAAAUUCAUUAUGAUUAAUAAGAACAUUAUUGGUUAAAAAGAAGUGAUCAAUGGCACAACUUGCCUUCAACGAGCUCCUGCUCAGCAGUCUCCACCUGCUGAACAUCUGGAUCCUCUGUGACUUGCUCGUCUACUCACAACAAUACAAACAAACAUGGUAUAGCAAAAAUUAACAUCACACCAAACGGUGGAACAGAAUGCAUGAUACUAUUCUACGCAUCGUGACGAGAUCAUAGGAACAAGAAUCACUAAAUUCGGAGUUAGGUUAUCGAGUUAUGGAUUUCCGAAGUUAUUAAGUGCUUGGUACGGGAUAAAUUAAGUAAACAAUUUUAGUCUAUGUUGCAUGUCUAAACAGAGUUAUUAAGGGCCUGUUUGUUUCGGCUUAUAGAUUAUAUAAUCUGGAUUAUAAUCUAAAUUAUUUAAUUCAGAUUAUAAUCUAGAUAUAUUAUAAUCUAUAUGUAGUUGUUUGGUAGUUUAGAUUAUACAAAUGUAGAUUAUUCACAAAGGCAACAAUACGUCAAUACCCUUGUUUGUUUAUUUAAGGUGAGAAAAGAAGGAUGUCAUAUAUUGUAAUUUCUAUUUACAUAACCAUGGUAGUGGGUCUUUUGCCAAAAUAAUCUCAAAUAAGCUACUCUUGAGGAGAUUAUGAGAUUAUCAUAAUCUAGCCUUUAGAUUAUAUAAUCUGAACCCAUAAUCUAGUUGUUUGUUUACCUAAUGGAUUAUUUGCGCUAGAUUAUAUAAUCUGGAGAGAUUAUAAUCUAAAACAAACAGGGCCUAAGUGAUGAACAAUAUUAAUACCAAAUUAUUGCAACUGGAAUAGAGUAAAAAUAAAUUAAAAUGAAUUUUCUAUGAAUUAAAUGAGUUUCUGCAAUUGUUUCUGUACCCAAAAAUCAAUUUCUAUAUUCUUUUCUCUGAUUUCCCUCUAACUGGAUUACGCGCACAAAAACAGAGAAACUCGAGGGCUAACUUAUAAAAGUCUCCCAAACUCAGAGCUACACCCGAGUGUACUGCGGGUUGAAUCCUAAAUACCACGGGGGCUCUUUUACAAAUUGCGCUAUCCGAAGGGGUAUCUGGCGAUUGGAGCCGUUCGAUUAGAAACUAGGGGCCCAGAUUACACUACUCUCCAGCCGAACGCCACAAACAGAUCCGAGUCGUUAGAUCCUAUCUUACGAUUCGUAUUAAAUCUUCCACACGUCGAAACGGUACGCAAUGGUGACCGCCCGAUCUAAAUUUGACGGCUCGAAACCCACCACACCCCAUUCAUUCAGGGCCGUUGAUCACCGGAUCAACGACCAACUCCCCUGAUCUCCCUUAAUUCCGGCGGUAGCAUGGCAGCGGCAAGCCGCGGCGGCGCCAUGACCGACCGCCCGGCACAGCACCAAAUUCGCGCUUCCAACUCACGACCUGUUGGACCGGACCAGGAAGGGACAGGAGAUGAAGCUGUUGGAGAUGAAGGGAAGAUGGAAGUUGAAGCUGUCCAGAAAUUAAGAAGAGGUACGCAAGCAAGGAAGUUGAAUCCAAAAUACAUUGGUGCCAACUGGAUGUAAUAGAAUUACAGGGUUGUUAGACUGUGGUUUUGCUUUUUGUUCUCAAGUAUAAAAGGAAAGCAUCUGCAAUAUUGUAAAGUGGCUUUUGGCAAUAGACACAACUGAACUUGGAAAGCAAGAAAGAAUAAAUCGCAUACCCUGUCCGUCUCUGUUGCUGUCUGCGCCUAACAUUUGGUAUUCAGAGCCUAAACUGGAUCCUCACCACGCGUACAACACGAGAUUGCAGGCCAGAGCGGGAGCGAUGGCGCCCCCGAGAGUGGAAGACCCCAUGGCGCUAUUGAUGGCCAAAAUCGAUGAAGGUAACAAGGAAAACUGCCGACGCAUGGAGGCGAUCCAGUCUACAAUGGAGAAGAUGGAGAGCACAGUGCAAGGAUUGGUCUCUGAUCGGAGCGACUUCAAGAAGUGGCGGCCCGAGAUCGAGAGGAAGGUGGUGGAGAUGGCGGAAACCCUAGUGAAGAUCCAAACGAAGAUAAGUAAUACGACUCCAUCUACCACUUCUUCGGGAGCAGUACCAGCGGUCGCCAACGGCUCGACGUCGGCAACAGCUUCGGUGGUGGCGGGGGAGAAGAUGGCGGGCUCUACCCUGCACCGUACAGCGGAUCCCUUCCGACGACCUGCUGCGGAAUCGGAGGUGAACCGGAUGUCGCUGCCCUUGGGAGGUAUGGCCACGCCAAAUCCUCAUGCUCCUUGGUUAUUUGGCCAACCCUCUGUGAGUCCAUUUGCAUCUCCAACCUGGUCACAAGGAUUGGGAGGAAACAUGCCACCGAUGAAUUUUCCAGUGUUUGAUGGAUCCAAUCCUAAGCUUUGGAAAAAUCGGUGUGAAACUUAUUUUGAGUACUAUGCUGUCCCAGUGGAGAUGUGGAUUCGAUUGGCUAUUAUGCACUUUGAGGGGCCGGCUCUGUUUUGGCUGGAGUCUAUGGAAGGUAGAACCAGGGAAAUGAAUUGGGGUGAACUUUGUACAGCUCUGCUCACCAGAUUUGGUCGUGACCAGCAUAAUUUGCUCAUCAGGCAAUUUUACCAUAUAUUCCAGACAGGAUCAGUAUCAGAUUAUAUUGAACAAUUUGAUUUGUUACUGCAUCAGUUGUUGGCUCAUGAAAAUCAUCUCACCACUACCAUGGUUACUGCCCGUUUUGUUGAUGGACUGAAAGACGAACUAAGGGCAGUGGUAAUCAUACAGCGGCCAGCUGAUCUGGAUACAACAUGUUCUCUAGCAUUAUUACAAGAAGAGGUCAUGAGUACUUCUGGACGUAGAGAACUGAGAAAAGUGGAUACUAACUCUAUUGUCAGAGUUCCAAACAAACCCAAUGCUUUGCCUAUGUUGUCAGGUAGUCGGACAUCAGGGGUACAUGAUGAACGGAGGUCUAUGGCAACAGUGGGUGCUAAAGGUGAAAUGAGUAAAAUGGAAGCUCUCAAGGCAUAUCGGAAGGCUAAGGGACUGUGUUUUAAGUGUGGAGAAAGAUGGGGCCAACUUCACACGUGCUCGAACACAGUGCCUUUACAUCUGGUUGAAGAAAUGUGGGCUCUAACAAUGGGUGCAUCUGAACUGGAGAUGGAGUCUGCAGAGCCUGCAACUGAGACUAGCCUAGAGAGUGUGCUUGCUAUUUCUGUUGCAGCAGUAUCAGGCAGCGAAGGGAGCAAAACUAUCAGACUGUGGGCAUCCAUUUAUUGUCAACAGGUUUUGGUGUUAGUGGAUUCGGGUAGCUCCGCGAGUUUUAUGGAUAAUCAUCUCACAGGAGUAAUGUCCGCAGUGCAGCCAUUAUCAAUGCCUUUGCAAGUGAAGGUUGCCGAUGGAAGGACACUAUGGAGUACUCACUUUGUUCCUGAUUGCUAGUGGCUAUGUGGGGGACAUACUUUCGUCCAUGACUUCAAAAUAUUACCAUUGAGUGGGUAUGAUCUGAUUCUUGGUAUGGACUGGCUGGAAAAAUAUAGCCCAAUGUCUAUACACUGGGGGCAAAAGUGGUUCCAGUUUAUAUAUAAAGGGAAGUCAGUACGGCUGCAAGGUGUUUUACCCAAUACUCGGUCUUGUUUUUCCCUAAAUUGUCUUCAGUUUGAUUCCCUUGUCAAACAAGAUGCAAUUGAGCAGUUAUUGGAGUUGCAAGUCGUACCACUUAGUGAACCCACUGACAUGCCUAUGGUGGUGGCUGAUCUGGUUAGCCAGUUUAACCAUCUGUUCGAUGAGCCAAAAGAGUUACCACCCAAGAGGUGGAUUGAUCAUGCUAUACCACUAAUCCCAGGAGCUCAACCUUUUCGGCUCCGACCGUAUCGGUAUACACCACAGCAGAAAGAUGAAAUUGAAAAACAAGUGAAGGAAAUGUUGGGCAAUGGUAUUAUUCAGCAGAGUACAAGUCCAUUUGCUUCACCUGUUCUUCUUGUCAAGAAAAAAGAUGGUGAGUGGCGGUUGUGUGUAGACUACCGCAGACUUAAUGCAUAUACAGUGAAGAACAGGUAUCCUAUGCCCAUUUUCGAUGAGAUAGCAGAUGAGUUGAGUGGGGCUGUUAUCUUUUCUAAGCUCGAUCAUAGAGCGGGGUACCACCAGAUACGGAUUAAAGAAGGGGAUGAGCCGAAAACAGCCUUUCAGACACAUUCUGGCCAUUUUGAAUAUCGUGUUAUGCCAUUUGGGUUAACGGGAGCACCUGCUACUUUUCAGGAGUUCAUGAACCAGAUUUUGGCCCCACUACUACGCAAGUGUGUAGUUGUCUUUCUGGAUGAUGUGCUUGUUUACAGUCCUAGCCUGGAACUUCAUGUGCAGCACUUGAAAGCAGUAUUUCAGAUACUGAGUGACCAUCAGCUACAUCUCAAGCGAUCAAAGUGUCUGAUGGCUCAAGAUACUCUGGAAUUUUUGGGCCAUGUGAUCAGUGCACGAGGGGUAUCUACAGAUCCACGCAAGGUCCAAAUAAUUCAAGAUUGGCCAAUUCCAAAUUGUGUUAAAGAACUCCGGAGUUUUCUUGGUAUGGCCGGUUAUUAUCGAAAGUUUGUGCAGCAUUUCGGCAUCAUCAGUAAAUCCCUUACUAAUCUUUUGAGGAAGGACACGGUGUUUGUCUGGACCACUGAAACUCAAAAGUCUUUUGAUAUUUUAAAGCAAGUUUUGGCUCAAGCUCCAGUGCUAGCUAUUCCUAAUUUUCAGAAAACUUUUGUGAUUGAGACUGAUGCUAGUGGAGGCGGUAUUGGGGCUGUGUUGCAGCAGGAAGGACAUCCAAUUGCAUAUAUUAGCAAGGCACUCGGACCACGAAAUUUGGGUUUGUCAAUCUAUGAGAAGGAAUGUCUCGCCAUUUUAUUUGCGGUCGACCACUGGCGUUCGUAUCUUCAGCAUGGGGAAUUUAUCAUUAAAACAGAUCAGCAAAGCCUCAUUCACCUUGAUGAUCAGAGGUUGUCUACGAGCUGGCAGCAGAAAGCUUUGACAAAGCUUCUUGGUUUGCAAUACAAGAUUAUCUACCAUCAAGGGACCAACAACCGGGUGGCUGAUGCUUUGUCACGCCGACCGGGGCUGGAACGGGAUGCACCACAUCUUCAACUGAAUCUAGUGGCAACUUCAACGGUGGUUCCCAGUUGGUUACAGCAAGUAGUUCAGGGGUAUGAGCAAGACCCCAGUACUCAAAAACUGUUGCAGGUAUUAGCCACUGGAACAGACCAGGGUCAGUAUACUCUGACAAAUGGAGUGAUCAGAUACAAGGGUCGUAUUUGGUUGGGCACCAAUCUGGUUUUGCAGCAGACAGUCAUGACCGCCUUGCAUGCCAGCGCUCUAGGAGGUCACUCUGGUUUCCCAGUAACAUACCGGCGUCUCAAAGCUAUUUUUGCCUGGCCUGGUAUGAAGAAGCAGGUGAAGGAAUUUGUGCAAUCAUGUGUCACAUGUCAACAGGCCAAACCUGACCGGGUCAAGUAUCCUGGUCUCCUGCUGCCACUACUAGUUCCAACACAUGCCUGGCAUACUGUUAGCUUGGAUUUUAUCACCGGAUUGCCUCAGUCCAAUCGGUCUAAUUGCAUCUUAGUGGUGGUGGACAAGUUUUCUAAGUAUGCUCACUUUCUUCCCUUGGCUCAUCCCUUUACAGCUCUUUCAGUGGCUAAACUAUAUUUGUCAGAAGUCUAUCGGCUCCAUGGGUUGCCAGCUGCUAUGAUUUCAGACAGGGACCCGGUCUUUACGAGUCACUUGUGGCAAGAACUGUUCAAAAUGGCUGGUACUCAGUUAUGCUUAAGCAGUGCAUAUCACCCUCAAUCGGAUGGACAAACAGAGCGAGUGAAUCAGUGUCUGGAGACGUAUCUUCGCUGUUUUGUCCACUCUUCUCCCAAGAAAUGGGCGCACUGGUUGCCGUUGGCUGAGUUUUGGUAUAAUACUUGUCCUCACUCGACUCUUGGAACUUCUCCGUUUGAAGUGUUGUAUGGCCACUCACCUAUACAUUUUGGGCUUGUUGACAAUGGUCAGUGUACAAUUCCUGAUCUUCAAGAGAUGUUGGCAGAGCGACAGCUGAUGCUCCAGCAAGUUAAGUUGCAUCUCAAUCGUGCCCAGCAACGUAUGAAAAAAUAAUCGGAUAAAGGAAGGACAGAUCGUGUUUUUGAAGCAGGACAACAAGUGUUUCUCAAACUUCAACCUUAUUGUCAAUCUUCCGUAGCUUCCCGUCCUUAUCCCAAAUUGGCUUUUAAGUUCUUUGGUCCAUUUACCAUUGUUCGCAAGGUUAAUCUUGUAGCUUAUGAGUUGGCUCUUCCACCAGGUUGUGGUAUUCAUCCGGUAUUCCAUGUUUCUCAGUUGAAGCCUCAAGUUGGUUCCAAUACACCUGUUAGCUUGUCAGUACCUGAUCUGUCAACUGGUUUGCAAGUGCCUGAACAGAUAUUGGACUCCAAGUUGGUUUGGCGUGGAGGCAAAGCAAUUUCUCAGGUGUUGGUUAAAUGGUCGGAUUGGGAUGUCUCUCUGGCUACGUGGGAAGAUGAAGCUGUGCUGAAGCAACAAUUCCCUGCAGCACCAGCUUGGGGACAAGCUGUCUCUCCAGGGGGGAAUAUGUUAACAACUCUAAAGGUGGACCGGACCAGGAAGGGACAGGAGAUGAAGCUGUUGGAGAUGAAGGGAAGAUAGAAGUUGAAGCUGUCCAGAAAUUAAGAAGAGGUACGCGAGCAAGGAAGUUAAUCCAAAAUACAUUGGUGCCAACUGGAUGUAAUAGAAUUACAGGGUUGUUAGACUGUGGUUUUGCUUUUUGUUCUCAAGUAUAAAAGGAAAGCAUCUGCAAUAUUGUAAAGUGGCUUUUGGCAAUAGACACAACUGAACUUGGAAAGCAAGAAAGAAUAAAUCGCAUACCCUGUCCGUCUCUGUUGCUGUCUGCGCCUAACACGACCGACCCGCAGAACGUGAAGGAAAGGGUUGGGCAAACACCCAGGGGGACUCACAUACCGGAAUCCGAGCACUGGCGCGCGUGACGACGGGGAAAGGCGGAUCUAUGGUGGGGCUCAACUCCGGCGACGAAUUGAGGUGGCUCCGAGGAUUCCCCGGCGGGUAAGGGUUGCGGUAGUAUUCCUUGAACCAAUCUGACUUCUCGCCAGCAACUCGCUGGGGUCAGGGACGGUGCGGAUGACUCCCCGGUGCAGCGGCACUCCCCCACACGACGGAGCUGGUUCUCUCUUUCUUCGAUGACGGCGCGGCGAGCGGGGAGUAAGCGAGAAUAGGGAGCGAACGAG
rnacentral:lncRNA from 1 species